GGCGAACGGGUGAGUAACACGUAGGUAACCUGCCCUUAAGACGAGGAUAACAGUUGGAAACGACUGAUAAUACUGGAUAGGACAUUAUAAAUCGCAUGAUAAAAUGUUUAAAGGAGCGAUCCACUUAAGGAGGGGCCUGCGGCGCAUUAGCUAGUUGGUGAGGUAAAGGCUCACCAAGGCGAUGAUGCGUAGCCGGACUGAGAGGUUGAACGGCCACAAUGGAACUGAGAACGGUCCAUACUCCUAUGGGAGGCAGCAGUGGGGAAUAUUGGGCAAUGGGCGAAAGCCUGACCCAGCAACGCCGCGUGAGGGAAGAAGGGUUUCGGCUCGUAAACCUCUGUCCUAUGGGACGAAGAAGUGACGGUACCAUAGGAGGAAGCCCCGGCUAACUACGUGCCAGCAGCCGCGGUAAUACGUAGGGGGCGAGCGUUGUCCGGAAUGAUUGGGCGUAAAGGGCGCGUAGGCGGCCUGUUAAGUCUGGAGUGAAAGUCCCGCUUUCAAGGUGGGAAUUGCUUUGGAUACUGAUGGGCUCGAGUGCAGGAGAGGAAAGCGGAAUUACCGGUGUAGCGGUGAAAUGCGUAGAGAUCGGUAGGAACACCAGUGGCGAAGGCGGCUUUCUGGACUGAAACUGACGCUGAGGCGCGAAAGCGUGGGGAGCAAACAGGAUUAGAUACCCUGGUAGUCCACGCGGUAAACGAUGAAUGCUAGGUGUAGGAGGUAUCGACCCCUUCUGUGCCGCAGUCAACACAAUAAGCAUUCCGCCUGGGGAGUACGGCCGCAAGGUUGAAACUCAAAGGAAUUGACGGGGGCCCGCACAAGCGGAGGAACAUGUGGUUUAAUUCGAUGAUACGCGAGGAACCUUACCCGGGCUUGAACUGCAGGCGAACGAUACAGAGAUGUUGAGGCCCUUCGGGGCGCCUGUGGAGGUGCCGCAUGGUUGUCGUCAGCUCGUGCCGUGAGGUGUCGGCUUAAGUGCCAUAACGAGCGCAACCCUUGUUCGUAGUUGCCAUCGGGUAAUGCCGGGCACUCUGCGAAGACUGCCUCCGUAAGGAGUGAGGAAGGUGGGGAUGACGUCAAAUCAGCACGGCCCUUACGUCCGGGGCUACACACGUGUUACAAUGGCAUGUACAGAAAGCAGGGUGUAUGCAAAUACGCUCGAAUCCCUAAAACAUGUCUCAGUUCGGACUGGGGUCUGCAACCCGACCCCACGAAGCUGGAUUCGCUAGUAAUCGCGCAUCAGCCAUGGCGCGGUGAAUACGUUCCCGGGCCUUGUACUCACCGCCCGUCA
rnacentral:rRNA from 1 species